AUUGAACGCUGGCGGCAGGCCUAACACAUGCAAGUCGAGCGAGCGGCGGACGGGUGAGUAAUGUAUGGGGACCGCCCGAUAGAGGGGGAUAACUACUGGAAACGGAAGCUAAUACCGCAUACUAUCGGAUAACCUAUAUGGGAUUAGCUAGUGGGUGAGGUAAUGGCUCACCUAGGCGACGCCGCCUAGCUGGUCUGAGAGGAUGAUCAGCCACACGGGGACGAAGACACGGCCCAGACUCCGACGGAGGCAGCAGGGGGGAAUAUUUGACAAUGGGCGCAAGCCUGAUGCAGCCAUGCCGCGUGUAUGAAGCAGGCCAUCGGGUUGGAAAGUACAUCUAGUCGUGAAGCGUUACCGAAAGAAGAAGCACCGGCUAACUCCGUGCCAGCAGCCGCGGUAAUAC
rnacentral:rRNA from 1 species